rnacentral:rRNA from 1 species
UACGGGGGGAGCAAGCGUUGUUCGGAUUUACUGGGCGUAAAGGGCGGGUAGGCGGCCACCGCAAGUCAGUUGUGAAAUCUCCGGGCUUAACCCGGAAAGGUCAACUGAUACUGCGGGGCUAGAGUGCAGAAGGGGCAACUGGAAUUCUUGGUGUAGCGGUGGAAUGCGUAGAUAUCAAGAGGAACACCUGCGGCGAAGGCGGGUUGCUGGGCCGACACUGACGCUGAGGCGCGAAAGCCAGGGGAGCGAACGGG